GCUUAACGCGAAGAACCUUACCAGGCCUUGACAUGCAGAGAACUUUCCAGAGAUGGAUUGGUGCCUUCGGGAACUCUGACACAGGUGCUGCAUGGCUGUCGUCAGCUCGUGUCGUGAGAUGUUGGGUUAAGUCCCGCAACGAGCGCAACCCUUGUCCUUAGUUGCCAUCAUUCAGUUGGGCACUCUAAGGAGACUGCCGGCGUCAAGCCGGAGGAAGGUGGGGAUGACGUCAAGUCCUCAUGGCCCUUAUGUCCGGGGCUACACACGUGCUACAAUGGUCGGUACAGAACGUCGCGUACCCGCGAGGGGAAGCCAAUCGGCAAAAGCCGACCUCAGUACGGAUUGCAGUCUGCAACUCGACUGCAUGAAGCCGGAAUUGCUAGUAAUCGCUAAUCAGCAGGUAGCGGUGAAUACGUUCCCGGGUCUUGUACACACCG
rnacentral:rRNA from 1 species